GACGAACGCUGGCGGCGUGCUUAACACAUGCAAGUCGAACGGGUCUGCCCUGUUUUUUGCGGGGUGGGUCAGUGGCGAACGGGUGAGUAACACGUGAGUAACCUGCCCCUCACUUCUGGAUAACCGCUUGAAAGGGUGGCUAAUACGGGGUGUUCUGGCUGUGCCGCAUGGUGUGGCUGGGAAAGAUUCACUUUUGUGGUGUUUUGGUGGGGGAUGGGCUCGCGGCCUAUCAGCUUGUUGGUGGGGUGAUGGCCUGCCAAGGCUUUGACGGGGAGCCGGCCUGGGAGGGUGGGCGGUCACACUGGGACUGAGAUACGGCCCAGACUCCUGCGGGAGGCAGCAGUGGGGGGUAUUGCACAAUGGGCGGAAGCCUGAUGCAGCGACGUCGCGUGAGGGAUGGAGGCCUUCGGGUUGUGAACCUCUUUCGCCGGUGAAGAAGGUCCUGCUCUUUGUGGUGGGGUUGACGGUAGCCGGGUUAUGAAGCGCCGGCUAACUACGUG
rnacentral:rRNA from 1 species